rnacentral:rRNA from 1 species
UACGGGAGGCAGCAGUGGGGAAUAUUGCACAAUGGGGGAAACCCUGAUGCAGCGACGCCGCGUGAGUGAAGAAGUAUUUCGGUACGUAAAGCUCUAUCAGCAGGGAAGAAAAUGACGGUACCUGACUAAGAAGCCCCGGCUAACUACGUGCCAGCAGCCGCGGUAAUACGUAGGGGGCAAGCGUUAUCCGGAUUUACUGGGUGUAAAGGGAGCGUAGACGGCAGGGCAAGUCUGGAGUGAAAGCCCGGGGCUCAACCCCGGGACUGCUUUGGAAACUGCCUAGCUAGAGUGCAGGAGAGGUAAGAGGAAUUCCUAGUGUAGCGGUGAAAUGCGUAGAUAUUAGGAGGAACACCAGUGGCGAAGGCGUCUUACUGGACUGUAACUGACGUUGAGGCUCGAAAGCGUGGGGAGCAAACAGGAUUAGAUACCCUGGUAGUCCACGCCGUAAACGAUGAUUACUAGGUGUCGGG